rnacentral:rRNA from 1 species
UACAGAGGGUGCGACGUUGCUCGGAUUUACUGGGCGUAAAGCGUGUGUAGGCGGAUUGAUAAGUCGGACGUGAAAUCCCUGGGCUCAACCUGGGAACUGCGUUCGAAACUGCGAACCUUGAGUAGUGGAGAGGAAAGUAGAAUUCCCGGGGUAGAGGUGAAAUUCGUACAUAUCGCGAGGAAUACCAGAGGAGAAGGCGGCUUUCUGGACAUUUACUGACGCUGAGACGCGAAAGCGUGGGGAGCAAACAGGAUUAGAUACCCUGGUAGUCCACGCUGUAAACGAUGUGUGCUGGGUGUCGCGGGAUUUGACUUCGGCGAUGGCGUAUAUAACGCGUUAAGAUCACCGUGUGGGGAGCACGGGCGCAAGGCUAAAACUCAAAGGAAUUGACGGGGGCCCGCACAAGCGCUGAAGCAUGUGGUUUAUCUCUACGCAGCGCGCAGAACCUUACCCAGGCUAGAAAAGUAGAGAAGUCUGUAGAAAUACGGAUGUGGCGUUCGGGGAAAUCUAAUCCAGGUACUGCAUGGCCGUCGUCAUCUUGAGUCGUGAGAUGGUGGGUUAAGUCCCGCAACGACCGCAACCCCUGUCAUUAGUUGCUAACGGUUAGCCCGAGCACUCUAAGGAGACUGCCGGGGUUAAACCGGAGGAAGGUGGGGAUGACGUCAAGUCCUCAUGGCCCUUAUGUGUGGGGCUUCACACGUCCUACAAUGGUCGGUACAAAGCGCAGCCAGCCCGCGAGGGGGAGCCAAUCGCAAAAAGCCGGUCUCAGUACGGAUUGCAGUCUGCAACUUGACUGCAUGAAGUCGGAAUCGCUAGUAAUCGUGGAUCAGCAGGCAACGGUGAAUACGUUCCCGGGCCU